GGAUCCUGCUGUUUUCGCAUAAUGUGAGAUGUGGCAACUGUGAACAAUGCUGGGCUUGUUGUUCCUUCAAUCUGGCCUGUUUUUCUGCCUCAGACUGGCAGACUCUUACUCUCCCACAGUGGGAAUCUAGAUGGAAUGGUGCUGGAUACCUAAGCCAUGAAGAGUGACGUUCCAAAGGGCUAAAACCCAGUGUGCCAUGCACAAUGGAAUCGUUGAUACCUGAGGUCAGAUGCAGCAGCGAAUGAGUCUAUUUCCUCAGGAGAGCAGCAGGCCGUGAGUAAGGAAAUGGCUGUCUACACAGGGUUCAGGUGUAAGCCUUCUUGUUAUCUGCCACUGGGAUCGCUUUAUUUUCCCUUUGGAAAACUAUAGUAGGGUCUACAUAACAGAACCUGUUAUUUCAUCAGGAUGGUUUCCAUGAGUAUCCCAUGUGGUUGAUCUUGAUCGUGCAGGUCGAGAGGCCCAAACUGAAGCAUACGGAAGCUUAGGGUACAUCAUGUGCAGAGCGACUGAGCUGCAGGAUUAACUCAUCACUCCUUACAGGAAAUAAAGGAAUGCGGUGGGCAAAACCACAGGCUUCUGGUGCCCAGAAGCUGCGAUUGGGGAGCGUCUCAAGCCUUCGUUCUCAAUAUGGAACUUCAGCCUGAAGUAUGUGACCAAAAGCAGCGUGCAGAAAAGAUCAUUCCAGACCAGAUAUUUAUGAGCCACAUCUUUCUUGGGGAUUCCUAGAGCCCAAUAGCUCCCUUGUCUCCCCAUGACUUCCACAGAUCAGCAGUACAAAGGUCCCUUUAUGAGGAGUCUUCUAAAGCUCUGCGGGAAUGAGAAGCAUGAGUUUCAGAUGUACCUGCAUCCCCCUGUUUCACUCCUCAUGCCAGCAAGGAAUCUAUUUCAAAAAUGUCCUAUAACACAUGUGCUUUCUUCAUUACUGCAUACCCAAAUAUGACCAAAUGGUGGCCUUUACUCACGUCAUUUUUGGCUAUAUUUAGCCUGGGGCAUUUUUCACAUUAUGUACCUUCCAUUCUUAGCCAAUCUGAUUUAUGUCAAGUUCUAUUUAGAUUUUUCAAGAUAACACAUAGCUUUGUCAUUCUACUGAGGUUUUCUUUUUUGGUACAGAUGAAAUGUGUCUUCCUAUGAAAUAUGAACAAAUCCCCCUGAAUAUAUAGUUAAUGGCAGAGCUUUCAACAAUUCAAAUAAUUCAGAAGGAUUGGCCAUUUUAUUUUACUAAUUAUUGAUUCAGACUGAUCUUCAACACUUAGGUUGGUGAAGAUGUAGCGGCUGGAUGGACCACAUUUAAAUACAAAAGUAAAAUUAUCAAAUCAUUUCAAGAGCCGUUUAGAACAUAAUGUGAAAUAUAGAAUUGAGCGAGAGUGGAGCACAAACUAUCAUGGGGUGAAAUGUACCAUGGAUCAUUUAAGUAGUUAAACAUGUUUGAGUAAAACAUGUUUCUACUUACUUUCUCAUAUUCCCACAGCAACAUUAUCUGCCAAUUUUGUUGCCAAUCAGACAGUUAUUUCUCAAGAUUCACCCUUUUUUUUCAUUAUGAAUGUUUUGAGUUGAGUGUCAUGGAAACUAUUCAUUUAAUCACCAUCUUAUUUUAAAGAACAUAAAUAACUUACAGCGACAGCUAGCCUAGGCCAAAAUGCAGCCAACCCAUGGGAGGGUUAGUAAACGAAGCUGCCUAAUGAAAACAAUGAAACAAUUAAUAUACUUCAAGAUAAAUUCAAAACAGUUUUUAGACAUUUUAACAUGCAUAAAAGAGCUACUUUAUGGAUAAGUUUGACACACCUCUUUUUGCUAAAUGUUUAUUUUGAUGCAGGUAUUUUUAUUUAUUUAGUUUGGAAAGCAUCUUUGGUUCAAUCAAGAAAGAACUGUAUUAAAAUAAUUGUGUUUUUCAUUUUCUGUAUGUUUAGCAUUUUAGCAAUGUUUAGGUGCUAGGAGCCAACUUUGUUUUCUUUGUAAAAUGAUUAAAUCAAAAACCAAAUGUCUUAUUUUGCUUUCUUCUAACAUGUAUACUGACAUUUAAAAAAACAGCUUGUUGGCAAAAUAGGCAGUAGAUGAAAACUUGCAGUAUAGAUACGUGGCUGAAAAGGCAGAGAUCUGACAGAAAAAUAAACGUGAAAGGGGGCUGGUGAAUGAUCUAAUUUUAGGAGUCCGUGUUCUUUCCUAAGCCUUGCUGGUUGGACAUGAUACAGACUAAUUGAUGGUGUGGUCAGGCUUGUGUGCUGCAUUGCUAAUAAAAUCUGUCAGACCUCC